GUUAGUUGAAGAAACCCAAUUCAACUAGACACAAAAGGACAAAAAUACCUUAAACCCACUUCUUUCAAGAAACUCCCUCCCAUUUCCUCCCCUCCUCCGAGCCCUAACCCACAAAAGCAUCCCACUAGCCAUCUCACUACACAUCGGCGUCUAUGAACAUGGAAUCCACCGGCAACGUUAAGCAUAGAAAGGAAAACCAGCCCAAAGAUGACAAAGUUUGAAGGGAUGAAAACCAUGAGGAGAUUAACCAGUGCAUUAAUGGUUGUGUUUUUUGUAAAACUUUUAAUUAGUACUUAUGUGUUUUUUAUUAUGGAUGUUGAAUAUUAGGAUUUAUGGAUGUUUCCUUCUCUCUGAUGUCUCCUCUCUCUCUUUUUCUCCAUUUUUUUUUAUAUAUUCAAAUUCUGGGUAAUGAGAUAAAAGGGGAAGGCUACAAUGAUGUCUCCUUUAAACUU